UUUGAUCCUGGCUCAGAUUGAACGCUGGCGGGAUGUUUACAUGUGCGUUUCGAACGGCAGCAUCGACUUCGGUCUGGUAGCGAGUGGCGAACGGGUGAGUAAUGUGGUCGGAACGUGCCUAGUAGCGAGGGUGAUAUCUACGCGAUAAAAGCAGAGCAUUACCGCAUACAGCCUUCGGGAAAAGUGGGGGACCUUCACCGCACUAUUAGAGAGCGGCCGAUAUCGAGAUUGAAGAAGGUGGGUAACGGUCACUGGCGACGAUCCGUAGCUGGUUUAUAAUGAACUGGCCACACUGGGAUCUGAGACGACGCUUCCAGACUCCUACGGGAGCGUGCAGUGGGGAAUUUUGGACAAUGGGGAAAACCUGAUCUCAGCCAUCCGCGUAGCGAUGAAGGCUUUCGGGUUGUAAAGCACUUUUGGCAGAAGAAACUGGCACGGGAUAACCCUGCAAAAAUCGACGCAAACGCAGACCGCGCACCGGCUAACCACGCAGCCAGCAGCCGCGGUAGCCGACAGGCGCGUGAAGCAAGACCCGGAAUUACUGGGCGUAAAGCGUGGCGUAGGGCGCGUCUGGGAGCAGCAUGUGAAAUCCCAGAGUUUAACUUGGAACUGCAUUUUUAACUACCGAGCUAGGAGUGCAAGUCGAGGAGGUAGGGAAUUCGCGGUAAGGGAAAUGCGUAGAUAUGCGGAGGAACACCGAUGGCGAAGGCAGCCUCCUGGGAUAAUAUCGACGCCAUGCACGAAAGUGUAGAGCAAAACAGAUUUAUAGAUGUUCUGGGGUCCACGUCCCAAACGAUGUCAACUAGCUGUUAGCCUUCACGGUAGCGUACUAAUCGCGAAGUUUGAAUCGCCUGGGAGUACGGCCGCAAGAUUAAAACUCAAAGGAAUUGACGGGGACCCGCACAAGCGGUGGAUGAUGUGGAUGGACUGAUGCAACGAAAACCUGCACAAUUUUACCCCUGAUAGCACCAACCUGAAGAUUGGGAGUGUACCGGUAAGAGAACCGGAACGACAGGUGCUGCAUGGCUGUACGCUCGUCGUACGUGAGAUGUUGGGUUAAGUCCUGCAACGAGCGCAACCUGUCAGAUAGUUGUUACGAAAGGGCACUCUAAUGAGACUGCCGGUGACAAACCGAGGAGCAGGUGGGGAUGACGUCAGUCCUCAAGGUCCUUAUGGGUAGGCUUCACACGUCAUGGUAAUGAAAGUCGGGAUAGAGGGUCGCCAACCCGCGAGGGGAGCCAACCCAAACCCGAUCGUAGGGUCCGGACUGUGUCAAACCCCGACUGCGUGAAGUCGGAAUCGCUAGCGGACCGCGGAUCACAUGGCCGCGUGAAUACGUUCCCGGGUCUUGUACACACCGCCCGUCACACCAUGGUGGGUUCAGAAGCAGUUAGUCAACUGUAAGGAGGGGGUGAUUACCAUGUAGGAUUCAUGACUAAAGAAGUCGUAACAAGGUAGCCUGCUACGGAAGGCACAUGACCGAACGAAGUACACC
rnacentral:rRNA from 1 species